AGUUACAACUUACAAGGACCGGUGCGGGAGGCGCUUGAGCGGCGCGUACCAACAAGGAAGAAUUUUCUAAAGAAUAAAAACAAGGAAGAAACCAGCGCUAAAUAGGAAAUCGCCGCUCUGGCGUCCGCGAUCGAUUCUGAAUCCAUGGGCAGACCCCUUUAAAUUCAAUCCCGUCCCGCCUCUUCUUCACCCUCCGCAAUUAGUUUCGAUGGGGCAACGUGCAAGGCGAAAUAGGGCUCGCCGUCGCCCUGCUCUCCCUCGUCCUGCUUCUGCUGCUUCUCCCCCUCCUCCCCUGGGACGUCGUACGCCGACCUUUGUCGCUGGCUGGGGCAGAGUGGCGUAAUAUUGGUGCUCUUUGAGACGCCCUAUGGAUUUGCAGUCUUGCAUUAUGAUGGGGUCAAACUUUUUUGUGCAAAUGCCUUGGAGGUACCUAUGUCCCCCUCUUGCUUUCUUAUUCUUCCCUUUAUUUUAUUUAUUUAUUAAUUGAUAUACUUGCCUGCCCUUGCCCUCCUUUGUCAUCCUUCUAAAUUUUGUCUGGAUUAAUUGCAAGAUAUCUGGUUAGAAUUCAUCGACAUGCCCAGGGCACGAAUGGUCGGUACCUCUUAUUUCAAUCUUGCAUCAUAUUCCCAUGUUCUUUAAUUUAUGUUUCGCCCCCCCUCUUAAUUGAAGAGACAAAAUGAAAGAAUUCAGGCACAUUAUAUUGGCCAUUAGUUGUUUUCUUUUCUUUCUUUCUUUGCAAGUACUCCCUCUGUCUCAAAAUAAAUGUCUUGAUACUAACUUUAGUACAAAGUUGUACUAAAGUUGAGAGACACUUAUUUUGGGACGGAGGGAGUAGGCUAUUAGUUGUCUGACCAAUUAUAUGUAUAGUUGUAUACCAGUCCUAAAAACACAUUCUCAGGUAACUGCUAGCUAGGAUGAUUGAGGCCUGACGUGAUAUUUGUACCGAUCAGAAAAAUGAGUGGGAUCUGAUACUCUUUUGAGCAAGAGUAGGAACUUAGUAUUCAGGCUUACUCGAUCAGAGAUUUCAUGCUCCUGUUUGUUUUCUUCUCCAAGUACUAUUUGUUCCUCUUCUUAAGAAUCAAUGCCUCCAGCCUUUCCCCUCUAUGUUCGUUCUAUCCUCCUGUUAGUUCUUGCAACUAGUACUUCUUUGAUUCCCUCUACUAUCAGGUCUGACUUGAUUUUUCCUCAAGAAGUGUUCCUGAUAGCUGGCCAAGUAAAGUGGAUAACAGAUUAUUUGAGUGAGCGAGCAGCGCACAAUAGGAAAUACAGUAUACGAAGCUAAAAAGGGGGGAUUUGACCGCAAAUUGGAUAACAACGUUAACUAAUAUGUCUUCUGUUACAGACAUUAUGAUAAUUAUAAUUAUCAGGAGUGAAAAGGGUUUAACAUAUCAGUUAGACUAAAGGGUAAACGGUUAAGGAUAGGAUUUUUGCGAGGAGCAUCGCAAUAAAUACCUUCUACCAAAUGACACAACUAUCAUAUGUUUUUAAAAUGGCACACAUCGCAUUAUCUUAGCGAAUGAACCUAUUCUGAAUUAGACUGCAAUAAUUUGAUAACGAUGACCUAAAUAGACUACAUCUUUACAGUCGAGGCCUGCUAACAUGAAUCCUGUUUGGUCAUGAUUGAGACAUGGCAUGGUGUAUGACUGAUUAUUUGUUUUCCCUGCUAACAUGCAUGCUCGUCUUUGUGUUUUUCCUUUAUCAGACUGUUAAUUUUAAAGAAUUUCAAAUUUUUGAUGACAAGGCCAGGACCAUUAAUAGUGAUGGUGUUUGUUCGGAGCUUGCUGAGAUGAUCAAGAGGCCGCUCUGGCCUGGUCAGAAACUUGCUGUUGGAAAGCAGGAAUAUAAAGACAUCAUUGAAGCAAGUUUGGGAAUUCAUUGCCUGUUCAAUGAAACUGUGCUGGAAGUAAUGUGGGGCUUGAAGAAUCUCAUCAAGAUGUUAGUGCCUGAUGAAAAAAUUGGAACUGACUAAUGAGGACCGCCUCCAGAUCAGCCAAGGAAUGAAAUCGGUCCUGGAUCGUCAUGGCGUUGAGGUCGAUGCCAACUUGGUUAAUUCAGACAUCGUUGAUAUUGCAUCUACCGUGUAUGAGUGUGAUCUUCUUGUGGGUUCACGUGAUGCAUUGUUGUAGCAUUAUGGUAACAAGCUUGCGGUGGUAUCAGGAAUUGACUCUAAGAAUUGGGGCAAACUGAAACCUGCAACUGCUCUUAAGUUAAUAUGUUAUCCUGAAGAGGAAAAUGUAAGUUACGAUCUUGAAGGCGAUCCUGAAGAGGAAAAUGUAACUGGCGAUCCUGAAGAGGAUAAUGUAACUGGCGGUCUUGAAGAGAUGCUGUCAAAGACCGAGGUAGAAAAAUUGAUGGCUGAUGUAGAUCACUAUGAAGAUAAGCUCGACAAGCGGACUUGCUUGGACAUGUACCAAACAAUUGUGUGGGGUUAUGGAAUUAGGCUUGAGGCACUAGAAUAGUUGGGUUCCAUGGUCAAGGAGGCAAAAAAAGGUUUGAAGCUGCACCAGGGGCCCAUGGCCAAGGAGGCAGAACAAGAAUUGAAGCUGCAACCCGAGGGGGUACAUGGUCAAGUAGGCAAAAGAAAAUUUGAAGCCGCACCAGGGGUGUUGGAUGCAGCAGAUGGAUGGAGACAGAAAACAAAAUUUUAGACAAACCAACAUCUUGUUUGGUGAUUUAAAGUGUAGGAUAGGGGCAAUUCGGUAUCUACUCUUAGAUGACAUGUUUGGCUAGACUGGCAUUGUGUUUGGCUAGACUGACCUCUUUAUACUUCCUAUUUUCAGGGGCCAAGCCAAACCCAACAAGAAAGCAAAGCUGAAUAAGCCGAUCGAUGAUGUCAAUCCAUCUGAACUAGAGAAACAACAACUAGAAUCUUCUCAUCCAACUGCAGAAGCCGCCAUUGAUGACCAACCACCAGAAGAUCAUGAAGCCUCCAUAGACCAUAUGGAUGUUGAACCAGUGAUUUCUAAGCCGCUGAGCCCAGCUAAGCCCAUCAAAGAAAAAACUGACGAUGUUGUGGUUACUGGGUUUGGUUACACAUCACCGGAUAACCCCACUGUCUUAUCAAAACACAGCGCCAAGGAAGAAAUUUCUGCUGAAGAUAAAGGCAAGUGGAAGGUAGAUAUGGAUAGCUAUGCCCAUUUCAGUGCCCAAGACCUCCACUCUGGUUACUUGAACCGCCUGUAUACCAACCGCGACUUUGAAGCCGGCUUAGUAAAUCUGAUGAAGGAGCGCUAUGAGGUAAACGUUGCCACUCCUUUAUAUAUGAAUAUACACUACAAAAAAAAGACACAUCCGUGAUA